rnacentral:rRNA from 1 species
UACGUAGGGUGCGAGCGUUUGUCCGGAAUUAUUGGGCGUAAAGAGCUCGUAGGCGGUGUGUCGCGUCGGCCGUGAAAACCUGGGGCUCAACUGUGGGCUUGCGGUCGAUACGGGCAUCACUGGAGUUCGGCAGGGGAGACUGGAAUUCCUGGUGUAGCGGUGAAAUGCGCAGAUAUCAGGAAGAACACCCGUGGCUAAGGCGGCUCUCUAGUACGGUACUGACGCUGAGACGCGAAAGCGUGGGGAGCGAACAGG